UCAGGAUGAACGCUGGCGGCGUGCCUAAUACAUGCAAGUCGAGCGAAUGGAUUAAGAGCUUGCUCUUAUGAAGUUAGCGGCGGACGGGUGAGUAACACGUGGGUAACCUGCCCAUAAGACUGGGAUAACUCCGGGAAACCGGGGCUAAUACCGGAUAACAUUUUGAACCGCAUGGUUCGAAAUUGAAAGGCGGCUUCGGCUGUCACUUAUGGAUGGACCCGCGUCGCAUUAGCUAGUUGGUGAGGUAACGGCUCACCAAGGCAACGAUGCGUAGCCGACCUGAGAGGGUGAUCGGCCACACUGGGACUGAGACACGGCCCAGACUCCUACGGGAGGCAGCAGUAGGGAAUCUUCCGCAAUGGACGAAAGUCUGACGGAGCAACGCCGCGUGAGUGAUGAAGGCUUUCGGGUCGUAAAACUCUGUUGUUAGGGAAGAACAAGUG
rnacentral:rRNA from 1 species